GGGGGUGUACUGGUUUCGACUUGGAAACAAAGUAUUGGUGGCAUGCGGAGGACGUCGGUUGGCCUCCUUAAUCAUCCGAUAAAAAAACAAACGACAAUCAAGAAAUUGAAUUGUUAGCUGCUUAAGGCUUAACCGCCUUAAGUGCUCGAUAGCCUAGGGCCUGACCAGGAGCGCUAGAACUAUUGUCAUUAACCCUGGUAUGAGCGCCCUUCUCCGCCUCUUGGAAGGGAUGCUCGAGAUCGAUAGAGGCAAGUUAAUCCAACGAGUGGCGCCUUCCUGCAGGAUUAACUCAUUACGGAGGCGAUAAGCAUGUAGGCAUCA
rnacentral:tmRNA from 1 species